UAUGUCCGAGUGGUUAAGGA
rnacentral:siRNA from 1 species